GCCUUAGUAGCUCAGAGGAAGAGCGCCUGCCUCCUACGCAGGGUCGUCAGGGGUUCGAUUCCCUUCUGGGGCAC
rnacentral:tRNA from 1 species